ensembl:lncRNA
CGCAAUAAUGAUGCUGUUGAGGUAUGUCUGUCGUGUGUUUUGGGUUUUACCCCCCAAAUCACACGACAGACGAAUGUCUAGGGCGUCAUUAUUGCGCACGUAAUUAUGUAAAACUGUCAGGAUAAUACCUGGGACCAAAUACUUUUUGCCGGACUGCUUAAGCGGAGGCGGCCUAGAAGUGCUAAUGUAACUCACUCACCCACCGACCGGCCGUGUUAAAUAGCGUUUUCCGGUGACUGGCGUUUCCUUUCGGUGACGGAUGUGCGACCUAGCAGGCUGUUUGGAGGAAGAUGGACGUGGUAACGUAUGAAAGUUGCAGAAGGCGUAAUAUUAAGUUGUUUGGAAGGUGUGGGCUACGGUAUGUAGAAAGUGGUGACUGAUGGAAGCUUUGGGAAAGUACAGUUUUCAUAUGCUUUAGUAAACUAUGUGGUUGGGUUUUGUAUGUCAGAUUUGAGGGUUUUGUGGAAGUUGAUAGAGGGAUUUGAGAAAGUGUGGAAACUAUAGGUUAUUUUUUGAUUAUUUUUUGAUUAUUUUAGUUAUAAGCGCCUGUAAUUAGAAUGAUGUCGUUUUGUUCCAUGUCCUGACCACCAUUCCCUUGCAGCUAGCCUAUUGCGUUGCGAUUAGUACAGGAUUUUAGGCAGUUGGACUGUGAGAUGGAGAAGUUGAGUGCUCCUGUAUAUAGUUAAAGUUUAUCUACCUCAACAUGAAGCUGGAACUUAUCAAGGAAACCUGAUCACCUUCCUCGGUAAUAGCCAAGCUUAUUUAAUUAAAUAUUACAUGUAGUUCAAGAAACAUUUGAAUGUUAUAUAGGCGUUGAUGAUAAUGUGCCCCAAGGGGGGUCUCACGGAAAAGAAGGUACGCCUUAAUCAAGGCCUACCACGUGGUACCUGACUGUUGCGUGCUGAGCUGUUCGCUAGCACAAGUGGGUACGUCUGAAACCUAGUGAUGAAUUAGAAUUUGGUACAAUGAUUUUCUAAUCUGGUAAAAUAGUCUCAUGGUUAACAUAUUAUUUUCACUCUCCUCAUAUAUUGAAUAAGUGGUAGAAUGAAGUUUAUCCACAUGGUGAUAAACUUGAACAUUAAGGAGACACGCUGUGUCCCAAGAGGACUGAAUUUGAAUCCAAUAUAGUCAUAAAUCUUAAAAGGGUAAUAAACCUAAAGCGAGUUUACUCCCCACAAUCAAAAGUAGAUGUAUUUUAAAUGCUGAAUUGAGUUUGGUUAAUUAAUAUAGUUUCACUUUGUUUUUAUUUACAAUUAUAUCUGGGAUAAUACUGGUG